rnacentral:lncRNA from 1 species
GUGUAAAGCGAGCAGCAGGUAGAAUGCAUGUCGGGAUGGCCUGGGAGGAACGCCAGAGGAAAUUGGAGUUGGAAAUGUAAGAUGUGUGCAAGAGUUUGUCUAAGGAAAAGCAAAGCCACUAUGUUUGGAAAAGGUCGAAAUCUCAUUAUUUUGCAAGAGCUGGAGAAAAAUGGACCAUCGCACAAUAGAUUCAGCCUUUGGAUUUGGAUUCUAUCAGCCUCUAUAAUCAAUGCUGAUCACCCUCGGAUGGAAAGAGCAGUAACGAUUCACAUCGACGAUGACACCUGGCAGGAAACCCAUAAGAUUUAUGGUCAGAUGACUCCUGGAGAAUUACUUCCUCUGGUUAUGACUGACUUCAAAGAAUAAGAAAGAGCACAAUGCAGCUAUAAUGCUGAAGAGAAUGUAAUGUUGUAGCCUUAAAUGCUGUAUCAUUUGGAUAUAGUAAACUGGAGAAAUCAAGUCAUGAUGUUCCGUAUGACUUCCUGAAAAGGGGAAAAAGUGUCCCAGGAAAAAGAAACAGUUAACAGGCAUUUUGGCCACAGCUUUUCUGAUUUGAAAUGGGGAGAUCACCACACAGUGAUCAGACACAGUGCAAAAGUGGCAACUGAGUGGCUUACAGUUUUGCAGGAAACUUAGGUGUGUUUCAUCUUUUUGAAUGGAUUGGGUAGAAUGCCUUGGAUCUUUGGAUAGGUCACUCCUGUGAGGGGUCACAUGCAUUAAUAUAUUUUGGUUUACCUUUUAAAUUUAUAACAGUACUGCCUCUAUUUAC